GGAGCAAUCAAAACGAUCGCAGGGUCAGUUGAACCUGAUCCUGAGGAAAGUCCGAACACCAUAGGGCAGGGUGCUCCAUAACAUGGAGUCGUGGCAACACGAAGGAAAGUGCAACAGAAAGAAUACCGCCCUGCAAUUGCAGGGUAAGGGUGAAAAGGUGCGGUAAGAGCGCACCAGAUAUCCGGGUGACCGGAGAUCUCGGUAAACCCCACCCGGUGCAAGACCAAAUAGGGGAGUGUUUGAGGGCUGCCCGCCCAAGCUCCCGGGUAGGUCGCAAGAGGUGUUGGGUAACCUGCAUCCAUAGAUGAAUGAUCGUUAUCCUGUUUAGAGUAAUCUAAACAGGAGACAGAAUUCGGCUUACUGAUUGCUCUGGCC
rnacentral:RNase_P_RNA from 1 species